UAUUAUAUUUAGUAUUAUGAUAUUUGCUGGGGUAGUAUUGUAAUUUUGUGAAACCCAAAGAAUUUGGCGGUGUUUUAGUCUUUUCAGAGGAAUCUGUCCUGUAAUUGAUAAUACACGAUUGGUUUUACUUAAUUUUGUUAUCAGUUUAUAUACCGCCGUCAUAAGAUUAUUUUUGUUUAAGAAUUGAAAUUUUCUUGUUUUUGAAAUAAAUGUGAUGUCAGGUCAAGGUGUAGCUUAUGAUUAAGUGGAGAUGGAUUACAAUAGUAUUAAUUAUUACGGAUAAUUAAUUUUAAUUUGAUUUGAAGGUGGAUUUGAUUGUAAAUUUAUUUUUAAUUUUUAUAUUGAUUGGAGCUCUAGAAUGUGUACAUAUCGCCCGUCGCUCUCGUUAUUAAAGUGAG
rnacentral:rRNA from 1 species